rnacentral:lncRNA from 10 species
GAAGGUAAGCUGUGAGCCUGUGAGCUUGGCUUUGAAGGAGGGAAGGAUCUGUCACACUCUGAAAACUGACCUCUGGGACCUGUCACUUAGAGGGCACUGCAGAGAUUUAACAGUGCCAUGGGGUCCCGAUUGCACUCACCAUCCACACCAUCAUGUAGGAGAAGGCUGCGAUCCACAGCGUGGAGGAAGCAAACGUCACCAUGAACCAUUUCUCCCAGCGCGGCUUGUUGCAGUUGGGUACAGUGAAGUAUAAGACGAAACUCAGCGGCCAGG